UGAAAAUCUGGCAGUGCAAAAACGGUCUCUGUAGGAAGCCCAUGCUGCCAUCCAAGCAGCUCCACUGCUCAGCCCUCUCAGAAUAUCUGGAAGAUUGGAAUACUUACUGAAGUCAGAAACACAUCUCUCCAGGAGAAUCACAGUGGAAGCCCACAGGAUUUUGGAGCAAGGCCAUGACCCCCUUCAGGAAGAUUACUAUUUUCCUUUGGAGAAACAGCUCCAAUUUGCUAUUGGCGUGGCCUCCAAGGAUUUUGGCUGUGCUCUACUGCACGUCUGAAGAAGCAGAGAUGCAGGGACUUGCUUAAAGUGGGAGGGCCCAGCUUCGUGCUCAGAGUCCCAAGUACUAAAGGAAUCACAACCUGCCUGUCUCUCCAGGAAACCUUUGUCUUCGGAAGUAUCUCCCGCUCUCACCCCUGGCCUACAGAGGGCAAGUACUGUUCAAGAAUGCUAAUACUCCUCCCAUCAGUGUUUUGGUUUUUUUGUGUGAAGUCGAGUGAGUAGAUCAGGUAUUAUAAAUCCACUCAAAUGUUCCUGUUUCCUUAAGUCUUUGGAUUCCCUUCUCUAUAUUACAUCAAGGAAUGUGUGGCAUCUGAACUUCACAAGCACAGGCCACCACUGAGACUCAGUUUCAGACAAAAAGCAAGAAGUUUAAACCUCUUCCAGUUGUUUAGUCUAGCUAAUGGAAUCCAGAAUUUUUGGUAAGGGCACCUAUAUGACGAAUUUGACCUGAUCUAAAAUUGUAUUCUUCUCUUCCCAACACUCUCAAAAUUCUUUCCCAUAAUCUUACGAUGCUUUUGGUGUGUAAGCCCUUUCUUCCCAGGUUUGAUUUUGAUUUCAGGGCGUGCUAGAAUCUGACUUUAGCUAUGGGUCUAGAGUCAGUGAACAGAGGCAGGGGUGGGCCAGGAAGACACUCCCUUGCCAGAUGAUCAUUCAGUGAACUCCUUAACAAUGUCGUUGAACAAGACAGGGCCAGCCUCAUCAGAAUGGGAGGAAGGGCUAUUUUCGUUGGCCCAGGAAGCUCUGAGAGUUUUGGGGCUUUUAGAUUCUUGGGGUUAUCUGACACCUCCAAAAUACCUCCAUUCCUGUACUCAGGGGAAGAGCCACUUUUUCCAAUAAAUGUCCUGAAAGACUCGUGAGACUGAAUUCAAUCUACUUCGUAACUCAUCAGUCUCCAGGCUCCGUCUCUGCCCCUGAUUUUCAGCUUCAUUAGCCCUGUGCCUGCGUGAGAUAAAAAAGAGUACUCUAUUUUAGAGAAGUCAUAGAAACAUCCUCAUUCACUGAUCAUGCUUUGAAGUGAGAAUUUAAGUCCCUAAGCCUGUGAUUUUUUUCUUUAAAUUUUAUCAUGCAAUUAGACAGAACUACUCACCUCGUAGCCUCUACAUUCCUCCCUCCUCUGUCCACCAGAGCCUUGCUUUCACUGGGCAUUUCUUCCAUGUGACUGUAGGUGAUAAUUUUGGUGUUUUGCCACUGGUGCCAUGGACUCCUUCCAGCCCAACUCACGAUAUAAUCAAAAUGCAGUGUGAUAUUUACCUUCUACCAGCUCCUUAAACUUCAUUCAGGGUUGGAAGAAGAGAAGAUGAUCUGCCUCUACACCUGGAUGAAACUUCUGACAGCUUCUAUGGCUUCUCUUUCCCUCCCUGCUUCCCCUCUACCUGCCUUCUGUCAUUUUCUUUCUCUCUGAGGGCUGAAGGUAGGAUAGAGAUUAGAGAGAAAGCGGUAAGUGAGUUAUGAUGUCGUUGGACAUUCUUCCUGGCUGCUUUACUCUGACUAUGUGACAUCCAGGCUUUUUUCUUUGGCCCUGCCAGAAAUUCUAAUUAAUACCAAGUAAUA